UACGGGGGGGGCAAGCGUUGUUCGGAAUUACUGGGCGUAAAGGGCUCGUAGGCGGCCAACUAAGUCAGACGUGAAAUCCCUCGGCUUAACCGGGGAACUGCUCUUGAUACUGGAUGGCUUGAGAUUGGGAGAGGGAUGCGGAAUUCCAGGUGUAGCGGUGAAAUGCGUAGAUAUCUGGAGGAACACCGUUGGCGAAGGCGGCAUCCUGGACCAACACUGACGCUGAGGAGCGAAAGCCAGGGGAGCAAACGGG
rnacentral:rRNA from 1 species